rnacentral:rRNA from 1 species
CCUACGGGUGGCAGCAGUGGGGAAUAUUGCACAAUGGGGGAAACCCUGAUGCAGCGACGCCGCGUGAGUGAAGAAGUAUCUCGGUACGUAACGCUCUAUCAGCAGGGAAGAAAAUGACGGUACCUGACUAAGACGCCCCGGCUAACUACGUGCCAGCAGCCGCGGUAAUACGUAGGGGGCGAGAGUUAUCCGGAUUUACUGGGUGUAAAGGGAGCGUAGAGGGCAGCAAAAGUAUGGAGUCAAACCCCGGGGCUUAACCCGGGAACUGCUUGUGAAACUGUGGGGCUGGAGUGCAGGAGGGGUAAGCGGAAUUCCUAGUGGAGCGGGGAAAUGCGUAGAUAUUAGGAGGAACACCAGUGGCGAAGGCGACUUACUGGACUGUAACUGACGUUGAGGCUCGAAAGCGUGGGGAGCAAACAGGAUUAGAUACCCUGGUAGUC